GACGGAGGAUGCAAGCGUUAUCCGGAAUGAUUGGGCGUAAAGCGUCCGCAGGUGGCAGUUCAAGUCUGCUGUCAAAGACCGGGGCUUAACUUCGGAAAGGCAGUGGAAACUGAACAGCUAGAGUAUGGUAGGGGCAGAGGGAAUUCCUGGUGUAGCGGUGAAAUGCGUAGAGAUCAGGAAGAACAUCGGUGGCGAAGGCGCUCUGCUGGACCGCAACUGACACUAAUGGACGAAAGCUAGGGGAGCGAAUGGG
rnacentral:rRNA from 1 species